GAUGAACGCUGGCGGCAUGCCUAAUACAUGCAAGUCGAACGAGAGGAAGGAAAGCUUGCUUUUCUGAAUCUAGUGGCGAACGGGUGAGUAACACGUAGGUAACCUGCCCAUGUGCCCGGGAUAACUUCUGGAAACGGAUGCUAAGACCGGAUAGGUAGCAGACAAGCAUUUGACUGCUAUUAAAGUGGCUAAGGCCAUGAACAUGGAUGGACCUGCGGUGCAUUAGCUAGUUGGUGAGGUAACGGCCCACCAAGGCGACGAUGCAUAGCCGGCCUGGGAGGGCGGACGGCCACAUUGGGAAUGAGACACGGCCCAAACUCCUACGGGAGGCAGCAGUAGGGAAUUUUCGUCAAUGGGGGGAACCCUGAACGAGCAAUGCCGCGGGAGUGAGGAAGGUCUUCGGAUCGUAAAGCUCUGUUGUAAGAGGAAAACGACAUUCAUAGGGAAUGAUGAGUGAGUGAUGGUAUCUUACCAGAAAGUCACGGCUAACUACGUGCCAGCAGCCGCAGUAA
rnacentral:rRNA from 1 species